GACGUUCAUGAGCAUUCAACAAAUAGGGUUCUUCAGCUGUCCUUGUAGGAGAACCCCAGCUAGAACCGGCAGCUAGAAAGGGCUCUUUGUGGGAUCAUCAACGUUUUUCCCCGACAGAAACAGCUUAAGAACCCUUUUGGAAACGUUCUCAGGAGAGCACUUUAUAAAUACUUAAAUCACACCAGAGUUAAUACCAAUACCAAGAAAGUAUCUUUUCUUGUAUCUUGUAUCUUUCACAGUAAAUACAGUUUGUGAAUGUUACUGAUUCGUUGCACAUUCUUGAGAUGGAUCAUAUGAAGUAGGUCACCACCUAACCCAAUGUAAUGUUGCACCCUGGGGAUGGUUUUGGUGCCCCACUUAUAAACCUAAUGUAAAGGUGUAAAGUCACUGUCCCCAUAUCAAUUUCGCAGUGAUAAAAAGGGUUUGAUCAAACUGUGUCCAUGCAAAAUGAAUGCUUUCAGUGUGCAUCAAUGACACAGAGGGUGCCCUGUUUGCUUACAAAAGUAGUCAUUUGUAUUGUUAAAACUGAGUGAUAGUAGUUGUUGAUAUUGUUAAGACUGUUAAGAAGGGAUGUAACGAUGCGCUCCUAGACGGUUUAAAAUCGAUGAAAAUAUGUGACGAUUCAAGUCGUUUGAGAUGUUAAACGAAUCGCGAUACACAUUUUAAACAGCAGGUGCGCUGAAGCUGUAUACUUUGGCCUUUAUAGGCUCGAUAGCAGCGAGCAAGUUGUAGCGCUAAACAAUAGCACACAUGGCGGGGGCAAGUGUGGAUGUUGAUAUUGAGGAUGCCCCAUCCUCAUUCAAAUCAGAGGUGUGCCGGCAUUUUGGCUUUCCGAAAACUAAAAAUGAACGCGGUGAGUUAGUAACAGAAAAAAAAAAAUGGGUGCAGAUACUGCAAGAAGAUUUUAAUAUACACUAAUAGCACAACAAACAUGAUGCAGCAUACAAACCGUGACCACAGUGAGAAGCUCCAGACACCUCCACCUCCCAGUAAAAAGCUAUUAACAGGUCAAACCACACUGACUGGCGGAUUUGCAGCCCCACUCGCGGCGACGAGAGCGAGAGCCACGGAGAUAACAAGGUGCACCAGUGUUUUCAUGGCAAAAGAUAUGAGGCCGUUUUCUGUCGUAGAAAUUGAAGGAUUUCGGCUACUGGUGAACAUUUUGGAGCCCAAGUACACCAUCCCAUCACGCCCCCACUGUAGCCAGACAGUCAUGCCAGCGCUUUACAGGGAAACAAAAUCUAAGGUAAUUGAGACCCUCAUAAAAGCAGAUAGCGUAUCAAUUACAACCGACAGCUGGACCUCUAGGGCUACACAUAGUUAUCUUACGGUCACAGCCCAUUUGAUAACCAGCAGGUGGGAGAUUUUGUUCUCCAAACUUGCCCUCUGUUUAAAACACACACCAGGGUUAAUAUUGCUGAAGUUUUAAAAUCAGCUGUGAGUGAAUGGGUUCUUCAAAAGGCCAGCCAAGGAAUUGCUGUUGUCACGGACAACGCGAGGAAUAUAGAUGUUGCUGUCAGAGAGGCUGUGGUGGCACCCCAUGUCAAGUGUUUUGCCCACACUUUGAACUUAGCCAGCCAAGCGGGUUUGAGUGUAUUCCGCGUGAGUCGUUUGCUGGGCAGAGUGAGGUGCAUUGCUGCCUUCUUUCACUGAAGCUCCAUAGCCACAGCUGCACUCGCAGCCAAACAGACACUACUGGAGCUUCCAGCGCACAAGUUAAUCAUCGAUGUCACUACGCGCUGGAACAGCAGUCUGGAUAUGGUUGAACGCUAUCUGGAACAGCAGUCUGGAUAUGGUUGAACGCUAUCUGGAACAGCAGUCUGGAUAUGGUUGAACGCUAUCUGGAACAGCAGUCUGGAUAUGAUUGAACGCUAUCUGGAACAGCAGUCUGGAUAUGAUUGAACGCUAUCUGGAACAGCAGUCUGGAUAUGAUUGAACGCUAUCUGGAACAGCAGUCUGGAUAUGGGCGAACGCUAUCUGGAACAGCAGUCUGGAUAUGGUCGAACGCUAUCUGGAACAGCAAGCGGCUGUGACAGCGACUCCUGAACAACGACGUUCGCCGAAAUGUCCGUGACAUUGAUACUUUGGAUGGCUCAGACAUCCGUGAUGUGGAGGACAAGCAUAUGAUCAAGCACAACAUGGCAUCCAUUGAAGAAGACUCCCUUACUGUGAGCAACAUGAUGAGAGCCAUACUGAACAACCUUUCAGACAGAUACACUUCAAACUACAACCACCUGCUGGAGUGCACUGCAUUAGACCCCAGAUUCCGGGCUCUGCCUCAUCUAGAGAAAGACCAGCGUGAGGAUGUAUUCCACAGACUGAAGGAGAAAGCUGUGCUGUUGUUGCAGAACCAGCAUGAAGGUGAAGAAGGUGCCAGUGGUCACCCCCCUGCAGCAGAGCAGCCUCUUGACAAGACAAACAGAGCAGGAGCUGAGCUGAAUCAACCUCCUUCCAAAAAAACAGCCUUGGAAGAUCUCCUUGGAGGCACUUUCAAUGAAUCAGUCAGAUUGAUGCAGAAAUGUAUUAGUACAGAGCUGAAACAUCAAUUUCCCUCAAUAGCUGUUCACUCAAGUGGUGGAAAGAGAAUGCUAGGCAGUAUCCACUGUUCUCUAGCCUAGCAAAAGCAUACCUCUCCACACCAGCCACCUCUAGUGAAAGGUUUUUUUCAUCAGCAGAUCUUAGCUUUUGCCGAAAAACUUGGAUAUGCUGAUAUUUCUUUAAAAAAAACAUGUAAAAAGAAAACCAAGCUAGGAAAGCCUUAGUUUGUUUAUAUGAAGAGAUUUCUUUUAUUUGUGUUAUUCAUUUAUU